rnacentral:rRNA from 1 species
CCUACGGGAGGCAGCAGUAGGGAAUCUUCCACAAUGGGCGAAAGCCUGAUGGAGCAACGCCGCGUGGGUGAAGAAGGUCUUCGGAUCGUAAAACCCUUUUGUUAGAGAAGAAAGUGCGUGAGAGUAACUGUUCACGUUUCGACGGUAUCUAACCAGAAAGCCACGGCUAACUACGUGCCAGCAGCCGCGGUAAUACGUAGGUGGCAAGCGUUAUCCGGAUUUUUUGGGCGUAAAGGGAACGCAGGCGGUCUUUUAAGUCUGAUGUGAAAGCCUUCGGCUUAACCGGAGUAGUGCAUGGGAAACUGGGAGACUUGAGUGCAGAAGAGGAGAGUGGAACUCCAUGUGUAGCGGUGAAAUGCGUAGAUAUAUGGAAGAACACCAGUGGCGAAAGCGGCUCUCUGGUCUGUAACUGACGCUGAGGUUCGAAAGCGUGGGUAGCAAACAGGAUUAGAUACCCUAGUAGUC